UACGUAGGGUGCAAGCGUUGUCCGGAAUUAUUGGGCGUAAAGAGCUCGUAGGCGGUUUGUCGCGUCGAAUGUGAAAACCCUGGGCUCAACCCCGGGCCUGCAUUCGAUACGGGCAGACUAGAGUUCGGUAGGGGAGUCUGGAAUUCCUGGUGUAGCGGUGAAAUGCGCAGAUAUCAGGAGGAACACCGGUGGCGAAGGCGGGACUCUGGGCCGAUACUGACGCUGAGGAGCGAAAGCGUGGGGAGCAAACAGG
rnacentral:rRNA from 1 species